rnacentral:rRNA from 1 species
GACAAACGCUGGCGGCGUGCUUAACACAUGCAAGUCGAACGGAAAGGCCCUGCUUUUGUGGGGUGCUCGAGUGGCGAACGGGUGAGUAACACGUGAGUAACCUGCCCUUGACUUUGGGAUAACUUCAGGAAACUGGGGCUAAUACCGGAUAGGAGCUCCUGCUGCAUGGUGGGGGUUGGAAAGUUUCGGCGGUUGGGGAUGGACUCGCGGCUUAUCAGCUUGUUGGUGGGGUAGUGGCUUACCAAGGCUUUGACGGGUAGCCGGCCUGAGAGGGUGACCGGCCACAUUGGGACUGAGAUACGGCCCAGACUCCUACGGGAGGCAGCAGUGGGGAAUAUUGCACAAUGGGCGGAAGCCUGAUGCAGCAACGCCGCGUGCGGGAUGACGGCCCUCGGGUUGUAAACCGCUUUCGCCUGUGACGAAGCGUGAGUGACGGUAAUGGGUAAAGAAGCACCGGCUAACUACGUG